AUAUAUAAAGAAAAGAUACAAGGCAUUGAAAAAUUGCAAGCCGAUAUAGUAUGUGUAACCAUAACAAACAAAUAUUUAAAUUUAAUUAUCAGAAAGCGAUAUUAUUUUAAAAAUCAUUAGCUCAAAUUAUAAUAUCUUAUGAGUUUGACAAUGAGUGUAAUUUAUGUAUCUUAUAAACUUCACAUAAUAUUUUGCUUUUAUUAAUAAACUCCCAUUUUGUU